rnacentral:rRNA from 1 species
CCCUCAGUAGUGGCGAAUGAAGCGGGAAAAGCUCAAGUUUGAAAUCUGGGGGGGCCUGCUCCCUCAGAGCUGUAAGCUGAAGAGGUUUUGACCGACGCGGCACGGGCUCAAUUUCCUUGGAACAGGAGGUCAUGGAGGGUGAGAACCCCGUCUAUGGCUCGGAUGCCGUCGUCCUUGUGUCGUUUCCUCGAAGAGUCGGGUUGUUUGGGAAUGCAGCUCAAAAUGGGUGGUAAAUUUCAUCUAAGGCUAAAUAUUGGCGAGAGACCGAUAGCAAACAAGUAGAGUGAUCGAAAGAUGAAAAGUACUUUGAAAAGAGAGUGAAACAGUAUGCGAAAUUGUUGAAAGGGAAGCGUUUGGCAUCAGCCCAUGGCCUCUGGCGAUCAUCCAGGCUUCUGCCUGGUGCACUCGUCAGUGGCUGGGCCAGCGUCAGCUUUGCCUGCCGGAGAAAGGCCUCGGGGAUGUGGCUCCCUCUGGGGAGCGUUAUAACCCUUGGCGUAAUGCGGUGCGGCGGGGCUGAGGUCCGCGGUUAACGCCUAGGACGCUGGCGUAAUGGUUCCAAGCGACCCGUCUUGAAACACGGACCAAGGAGUCUAACAUCUAUGCGAGUGUUUGGGUGUCAAGCCCGUCCGCGCAAUGAAAGUGAAUGCAGGCGGGAGCCUUUAGAGGGUGCACCGCC